GAGACACCCUUAUAGGGCAAGACUUGCUUCAGUGGGGCUUUGGUGCUCACGGAGUCUGCCCCCUGAGUGUGUCCCU
rfam:Myotis lucifugus cont2.31414, whole genome shotgun sequence.